rnacentral:tRNA from 1 species
GGGACCGUGAGCCAACCUGGUAAGCUGCAAGCUUCGGGUGCUUGUUAUCUGAGUUCGAAUCUCGGCGGUCCCA